rnacentral:rRNA from 1 species
AGAGUUUGAUCAUGGCUCAGAGUGAACGCUGGCGGCAGGCCUAACACAUGCAAGUCGAACGGCAGCACAGCAGUAGCAAUACUGUGGGUGGCGAGUGGCGGACGGGUGAGGAAUACAUCGGAAUCUACCUUGUCGUGGGGGAUAACGUAGGGAAACUUACGCUAAUACCGCAUACGAACUAUGGUUGAAAGCGGCGGACCGCAAGGCGUCGCGCGAUUGGAUGAGCCGAUGUCCGAUUAGCUAGUUGGCGGGGUAAAGGCCCACCAAGGCGACGAUCGGUAGCUGGUCUGAGAGGAUGAUCAGCCACACUGGAACUGAGACACGGUCCAGACUCCUACGGGAGGCAGCAGUGGGGAAUAUUGGACAAUGGGGGCAACCCUGAUCCAGCCAUGCCGCGUGUGUGAAGAAGGCCUUCGGGUUGUAAAGCACUUUUGUUCGGGAAGAAAAGCACUGGGCUAAUACCUUGGUGUCAUGACGGUACCGAAAGAAUAAGCACCGGCUAACUUCGUGCCAGCAGCCGCGGUAAUACGAAGGGUGCAAGCGUUACUCGGAAUUACUGGGCGUAAAGCGUGCGUAGGCGGUUUGUUAAGUCUGUCGUGAAAGCCCCGGGCUCAACCUGGGAAUGGCGAUGGAUACUGGCGAGCUAGAGUACGGUAGAGGAGAGUGGAAUUCCCGGUGUAGCAGUGAAAUGCGUAGAGAUCGGGAGGAACAUCAGUUGCGAAGGCGGCUCUCUGGACCAGUACUGACGCUGAGGCACGAAAGCGUGGGGGAGCAAACAGGAUUAGAUACCCUGGUAGUCCACGCCGUAAACGAUGAGUGCUAGGUGUUGGGGGGUACCACCCUCAGUGCCGAAGCUAACGCAUUAAGCACUCCGCCU